rnacentral:rRNA from 1 species
AGUGAACGCUGGCGGUAUGCCUAACACAUGCAAGUCGAACGGCAGCACAGUAAGAGCUUGCUCUUACGGGUGGCGAGUGGCGGACGGGUGAGGAAUACAUCGGAAUCUACUUUUUCGUGGGGGAUAACGUAGGGAAACGUACGCUAAUACCGCAUACGACCUACGGGUUAAAGCAGGGGAUCUUCGGACCUUUCGCGAUUGAAUGAGCCGAUGUCGGAUUAGCUAGUUGGCGGGGUAAAGGCCCACCAAGGCGACGAUCCGUAGCUGGUCUGAGAGGAUGAUCAGCCACACUGGAACUGAGACACGGUCCAGACUCCUACGGGAGGCAGCAGUGGGGAAUCUUCGACAAUGGGCGCAAGCCUGAUGCAGCCACACCGCGUGGGUGAAGAAGGCCUUCGGGUUGUAAAGCCCUUUUGUUGGGAAAGAAAAGAAGCAGGUUAAUACCCCGCUGUUCUGACGGUACCCAAAGAAUAAGCAACGGCUAACUUCGUG